GCUCCCGUGGCGCAAUGGUAGCGCAUCAGACUUCUACUUGAUCUCAUCAUCAAGUCGUACAUCUGGGGGUUGCGGGUUCGAGCCCCGCCGGGAGUU